rnacentral:rRNA from 1 species
UACGUAGGGGGCAAGCGUUGUCCGGAAUCAUUGGGCGUAAAGCGCGUGUAGGCGGCUCGGUAAGUCCGCUCUGAAAGUCCAAGGCUCAACCUUGGGAUGCGGGUGGAUACUGCCGGGCUCGAGUCCGGAAGAGGCGAGUGGAAUUCCUGGUGUAGCGGUGAAAUGCGCAGAUAUCAGGAGGAACACCGAUGGCGAAGGCAGGUCUCUGGGCCGAUACUGACGCUGAGGAGCGAAAGCGUGGGGAGCGAACAGG